AAUAGAUACCCAGGUAGUCCACGCCGUAAACGAUGAGUGCUAAGUGUUAGGGGGUUUCCGCCCCUUAGUGCUGCAGCUAACGCAUUAAGCACUCCGCCUGGGGGAGUACGGUCGCAAGACUGAAACUCAAAGGAAUUGACGGGGGGCCCGCACCAGCGGUGGAGCAUGUGGUUUAAUUCGAAGCAACGCGAAGAACCUUACCAGGUCUUGACAUCCCAUUGACCACUAUGGAGACAUAGUUUUCCCUUCGGGGACAACGGUGACAGGUGGUGCAUGGUUGUCGUCAGCUCGUGUCGUGAGAUGUUGGGUUAAGUCCCGCAACGAGCGCAACCCUUGUUCUUAGUUGCCAUCAUUUAGUUGGGCACUCUAAGGAGACUGCCGGUGACAAACCGGAGGAAGGUGGGGAUGACGUCAAAUCAUCAUGCCCCUUAUGACCUGGGCUACACACGUGCUACAAUGGACGGUACAAACGGUUGCCAACCCGCGAGGGGGAGCUAAUCCGAUAAAACCGUUCUCAGUUCGGAUUGUAGGCUGCAACUCGCCUACA
rnacentral:rRNA from 1 species